GUUUGAUCCUGGCUCAAGAUGAACCCUAGCGGCAGGCUUAAUACAUGCAAGUCGAGGGGUAACAGGGGCUUCGGCCCGCUGACGACCGGCGCACGGGUGAGUAACGCGUAUGCAACCUGCCUGUAACAGCGGGAUAGCUCCCUGAAAGGGGAAUUAACACCGCAUAAGACCACGCUCUCGCAUGGGGACGGGGUAAAAUAUUUAUAGGUUACAGAUGGGCAUGCGUGACAUUAGUUAGUUGGUGAGGUAACGGCUCACCAAGACUGCGAUGUCUAGGGGUUCUGAGAGGAAGGCCCCCCACACUGGGACUGAGACACGGCCCACACUCCUACGGGAGGCAGCAGUGAGGAAUAUUGGACAAUGGAUGGAAAUCUGAUCCAGCCAUGCCGCGUGCAGGAAGACGGCCUUAUGGGUUGUAAACUGCUUUUAUACGGGAGCAAUAAGGGUUACGAGUAAUCCGAUGAGAGUACUGUAUGAAUAAGGAUCGGCUAACUCCGUGCCAGCAGCCGCGGCAAUACGGAGGAUCCGAGCGUUAUCCGGAAUUAUUGGGUUUAAAGGGUGCGUAGGCGGCCAUUUAAGUCAGCGGUGAAAUUUUGCAGCUUAACUGUAACAGUGCCGUUGAUACUGUUUGGCUAGGAUUUGGUUGUAGUGUGCGGAAUGUGUGGUGUAGCGGUGAAAUGCUUAGAUAUCACACAGAACACCGAUUGCGAAGGCAGCACACUAAGUCAUUAUUGACGCUGAGGCACGAAAGUGUGGGGAUCAAACAGGAUUAGAUACCCUGGUAGUCCACACUGUAAACGAUGAUAACUCGCUGUCGGCGAUACACAGUCGGUGGCCAAGCGAAAGCAUUAAGUUAUCCACCUGGGGAGUACGACCGCAAGGUUGAAACUCAAAGGAAUUGACGGGGGCCCGCACAAGCGGAGGAACAUGUGGUUUAAUUCGAUGAUACGCGAGGAACCUUACCCGGGCUCGAACGGUGCAUGAAUAUACGAGAGAUUGUAUAGUCCUUCGGGACAUGUAUCGAGGUGCUGCAUGGUUGUCGUCAGCUCGUGCCGUGAGGUGUCGGCUUAAGUGCCAUAACGAGCGCAACCCUUGUCAUUAGUUGCCAUCAGGUCAAGCUGGGGACUUUAAUGAGACUGCCACCGUAAGGUGUGAGGAAGGGGGGGAUGACGUCAAAUCAGCACGGCCCUUAUGUCCGGGGCGACACACGUGUUACAAUGGGAGGUACAGAGGGCAGCUAUCCGGUGACGGAAUGCUAAUCUCCAAAACCUUUCUCAGUUCGGAUUGGAGUCUGCAACUCGACUCCAUGAAGGUGGAUUCGCUAGUAAUCGCGCAUCAGCCAUGGCGCGGUGAAUACGUUCCCGGGCCUUGCACUCACCGCCCGUCA
rnacentral:rRNA from 1 species